rnacentral:rRNA from 1 species
UACGUAGGGGGCAAGCGUUGUCCGGAAUUACUGGGCGUAAAGCGCGUGUAGGCGGGACGGCAAGUCGGACGUGAAAGGCUCGGGCUCAACCCGAGAAGGCCGUUCGAAACUGCCGUUCUUGAGGGUCGAAGAGGAGAGUGGAAUUCCUGGUGUAGCGGUGAAAUGCGCAGAUAUCAGGAAGAACACCCGUGGCUAAGGCGGCUCUCUAGUACGGUACUGGACGCUGAGACGCGAAAAGCCGUGGGGAGCGAACAGG